rnacentral:rRNA from 1 species
CCUAAAGGCGUAAUGAAAGUAAAGGUCGACCUUGUGUCGAUUAAGGGAGGAUGAAUUGUCUAAUAAGCAAUUUCGCACUCCCGGGGCGUCUCAUUCUCAUUACGAGAAGAGGCGCACCUAGAGCGUACACGUUGGGACCCGAAAGAUGGUGAACUAUGCCUGGUCAGGACGAAGUCAGGGGAAACCCUGAUGGAGGUCCGUAGCGAUUCUGACGUGCAAAUCGAUCGUCGGAACUGGGUAUAGGGGCGAAAGACUAAUCGAACCAUCUAGUAGCUGGUUCCCUCCGAAGUUUCCCUCAGGAUAGCUGGCACUCGUUUUGUAUACGAGUCUCAUCUGGUAAAGCGAAUGAUUAGAGGCCUUGGGGCCGAAACGACCUCAACCUAUUCUCAAACUUUAAAUGGGUGAGAUCUCUGGCUUGCUUGAAUGUAUGAAGCCAUGAGAUUUCGGAUCAGAGUGCCAAGUGG